GUGGCAUAGUGGCAUAGUGGUUAGUGUGUUUGCCUUGCACCUCUGAUGUUGGGGGUUUGAUUUCCACCUCCACA